AAGUAUUUUAUCAGUUCUUAUCAUAUACUAGAGUUGAGAGUUUCAUUAUCAUUAACAUUAUCAUUUUGAUUUUCAUUGUCAGUUGUCAGAGUCGAGAACAUGUCCCAACUAAGACUGGUUUUUAGUUCUUGUAUUAAAAGGCUUUGUUGGAAUACUGUGGACUUAGGUUAUGUUGAUCAGAUGCUUUGGAUGGUUACUAGUUAUCGGUCAUAGACU
rnacentral:lncRNA from 1 species